CCUAACAGAGACGUGACCGACCGCAUAAACCGAUCAGUGGCGAAGAGGAAAAAAGUAAAAGUUUACUAUAAACAAAAAUUAAUUCUCAUCAAUCACCUGGACUCCAGGUGAUUGAUGAAGUAACGAAGCGAAGCGUGUGUGUCGGACUGGAUCAUUAUCCUCGCCUCCAGUCCGUUUAAACAGUAAAUCUCGACGGACGUGUCAGUCUUUACUCCAGCUGUGGCAAACGAUAUAUAUCAUUUUAUCAUUACAUAAACCUACAAACAUUUAGAGUUUACAUACCACACGAUGGAAAUCAACUGCUCUUGUGCUUCAAGAAAUGAAGAUAUUAGAACCCAGGAAUUAUGGAUGAAGUUUUCCAAAUGAAGCAAACAUUGGGACGGACAUCUAAAGAGGUUUCAGGUAAACCUUGGCCAGGUGGCCUUGGAGGUAGAGGCGGGAGGCAGCUAGGGAGCGGAUGGCCAGUGUGAGCAUCUCUGCAGCAUGUUGGGUGAGGACUGGUAACUCCGCAGUCAGCAGGCUAUUGAGGGACAUGUAGGCUCCCUUCACCUCCAUAUCCUCAUCUUCCUGAACAGGUUCAACCACUCCACUUUCCCACCAUCUCAUACCUGACCGAUGAUACCCAGCUUCUGGGAGAGUAUGGUAGACAUCCUCGCAGACUUCUUGGCGAUUGAAUGAAGGUUGACGCGUCGUAUCUUGCCAUGGAGGGAGUCGUCGACAUCACUCCGUAGAGGGAGGACCUCAACACUGUAAGUGGAGCAGUACACCUUAUAGACCUGACACAGCUCUGACUUGAACUGCAGGAACACCCACCCAAUCAACAUGUCUUCAUCACUAUGCUGCUGUUCUUGUUCCAGCUUGUU
rnacentral:lncRNA from 1 species